rnacentral:rRNA from 1 species
CGCGGUAAUACGGAGGAUGCGAGCGUUAUCCGGAUUUAUUGGGUUUAAAGGGUGCGUAGGCGGGCUUUUAAGUCAGCGGUAAAAAUUCGGGGCUCAACCCCGUCCGGCCGUUGAAACUGGGGGCCUUGAGUGCGGCGGAGGCAUGCGGAAUGCGCGGUGUAGCGGUGAAAUGCAUAGAUAUCGCGCAGAACCCCGAUUGCGAAGGCAGCGUGCCGUGCCGCCACUGACGCUGAGGCACGAAAGCGCGGGGAUCGAACAGG